rnacentral:rRNA from 1 species
GACGAACGCUGGCGGCGUGCUUAACACAUGCAAGUCGAACGGAAAGGCCCUGCUUUUGUGGGGUGCUCGAGUGGCGAACGGGUGAGUAACACGUGAGUAACCUGCCCUUGACUUUGGGAUAACUUCAGGAAACUGGGGCUAAUACCGGAUAGGAGCUCCUGCUGCAUGGUGGGGGUUGGAAAUUUUCGGCGGUUGGGGAUGGACUCGCGGCUGAUCAGCUUGUUGGUGGGGUAGUGGCUUACCAAGGCUUUGACGGGUAGCCGGCCUGAGAGGGUGACCGGCCACAUUGGGACUGAGAUACGGCCCAGACUCCUACGGGAGGCAGCAGUGGGGAAUAUUGCACAAUGGGCGGAAGCCUGAUGCAGCAACGCCGCGUGCGGGAUGACGGCCUUCGGGUUGUAAACCGCUUUCGCCUGUGACGAAGCGUGAGUGACGGUAAUGGGUAAAGAAGCACCGGCUAACUACGUG